UCCUAGGAGCACGAAUGCAAAUUUUGGGUUGUUCAUCUCUCCUGGUCCAGUAGUCUAUUUGUACAGUAGUUUCCUUAUGUCACAUUUGUCUCCUAGUUGAGGCUAUGGGGUAAUAUUCUCUGAUUUGUAUAAGAGUAAGUUAUACUCCCUCCAUUUCAAAUUGUAGGUCGUUUUGGCUUUUGUAGGUUCGUAGAUGUCGCUAUGCACUUAGAUAUAUACUAGGUUUAGAUUCGUAACAAAAUUUAUGAACCUAAUAAUGUCAAAACGACCUGCAUUUUGGAACGGAGGGAGUAAGUAUUAAGAUUUGUAUGCAGCCACUGUGUGAAUAUAGUUGAAAUGCG
rnacentral:lncRNA from 1 species